rnacentral:rRNA from 1 species
AAGAUUAUUAGUCAAUGCUCGUAAGAGUGACCUAGCUACCUGAACUCAUAGAGUUUUUUUAAGUCCAUGAAGUCGUAAGGGAAAAUAAUGAUAAUUCCUUACUUAUGAGUGUCGUCCAAAUCUGGUGCCAGAAGACUCGGUAAGACCAGAGACGCAAACGUUAAUCAUCAUAAACAGGCGUAAAGGGUUUGUAGGCAGCUUUUAUAAGAUUAAAAAAAUUAAUUUAAUUGAAAGCUAGAAUCAAAAAGAGGUUAUAGUGUAUAACGCCUAGAGGAGGGCUGAUAUCCAUAGAUCCUAGGCAGAAUACUUAGGGCGAAGGCCACUCUCCACUAAUGAUUGACGCUGAGAAACGAAGGUUAGGGUAGGAAAUAGGAUUAGAUACCCCGGUACUCCUUUCUGUAAACGAUGAAUGGUAGUCAUUAGUUAAAUUAAAUAACUAGAGGCGAAGUUAACACAAUAACCAUUCCGCCUUGUGAGUACUACUGCAAAGUAGAAAACAAGACAAUUAGUCGGUCUCGAAGCAAACGGAGUGAAGCAUGUUAUUUAAUUCGAUA